rnacentral:rRNA from 1 species
UACGUAGGGGGCAAGCGUUAUCCGGAUUUACUGGGUGUAAAGGGAGCGUAGGCGGCAGUGCAAGUCAGAAGUGAAAGCCCGGGGCUCAACUCCGGGACUGCUUUUGAAACUGUACAGCUUGAUUGCAGGAGAGGCAAGUGGAAUUCCUAGUGUAGCGGUGAAAUGCGUAGAUAUUAGGAGGAACGCCAGUGGCGAAGGCGGCUUGCUGGACUGUAAAUGACGCUGAGGCUCGAAAGCGUGGGGAGCAAACAGG